rnacentral:rRNA from 2 species
UAAUCGGAAUUACUGGGCGUAAAGCGCACGCAGGCGGUCUGUCAAGUCGGAUGUGAAAUCCCCGGGCUCAACCUGGGAACUGCAUUCGAAACUGGCAGGCUUGAGUCUUGUAGAGGGGGGUAGAAUUCCAGGUGUAGCGGUGAAAUGCGUAGAGAUCUGGAGGAAUACCGGUGGCGAAGGCGGCCCCCUGGACAAAGACUGACGCUCAGGUGCGAAAGCGUGGGGAGCAAACAGGAUUAGAUACCCUGGUAGUCCACGCCGUAAACGAUGUCUACUUGGAGGUUGUGCCCUUGAGGCGUGGCUUCCGGAGCUAACGCGUUAAGUAGACCGCCUGGGGAGUACGGCCGCAAGGUUAAAACUCAAAUGAAUUGACGGGGGCCCGCACAAGCGGUGGAGCAUGUGGUUUAAUUCGAUGCAACGCGAAGAACC